rnacentral:lncRNA from 1 species
UUUAGUGAAUAGGGUUUGUACGUAGUUGAAUCUGAUAAGUAUAUCUAUUGGCUUUCAGAUAAGGUUUGGUUUGUAUGAUCUUUGGCAAAAGCUCAAAUAUCGCCGAUUCGAAUAACGCUUGGACAACACCAUAUAAUAUGCUUUGAUUUCGGGACUGAGGGGAUAUAUAGGUUUCGAUCGUCCAGAACCUCUUUGAUUAUUCAAAAAAAAAAAAAAAUCUAACUAGGAUAUCUAUUUACUAUCGAGAAGAGAACAGAGGAAGAUUUAUAAAUCAGACCUUCAUUUUUUUUUCUAGCUUU